AAUUGAAACUGUCAUUUCGAUUUUGUUUAUCGACUUAUUAGUACAAUAUUAAAACUAAUCCUAAAAUGUCCCACAUAAUAAAAAUAUUAUUACUCACAAUUUGCAUUGCAACUUCGAGUUUAGCCUAUGAGAAUUCUGAUAUUGUAUCAGCAAAAAUCGAGACAUGUCGAGGUUGUUCCUUGAAUCGCCUUCCUGAAGUGAAAAAAUUCGUCAUGGAAGACGCCCCCUUCUACGAACGCCUGGAAGUUAAAUUCAUAACUGGCGCUCCCCCAAUACUUAUUAUGCUGGGUGAAGACGAUAAUGAAUUGGAACGAAUUGCUCUAUCAAACCUAAAUAGAGUUGAAUGUAAUGACAUACUUCUUCAAAAAGGAUUUAAUAAGAAAAAUAAAAAAGAAGAAUUUUAAAGAAUAUUGGUAAAAUAUCCGAAAUUUAU